rnacentral:lncRNA from 1 species
UUAGUGGACACUAGAUCCCUGAACUUAGGUUUUGUGGCCUGCAUUGACUUAAAUGCUACCAUAGCAACAUUCCUGUCUGCAGCAAAGCUAGUUUAUUUAAAGCCAGCAUCAGUAUGUCUACAUAAACUGCCAGUAAGCCUUUGAAUUUCAUAAUAUACACACUCUUAAGGAUAGCGGAUGUCCAACAGCUGUGAGAACUGCCAUAAUGUUAUAAUUUUAUACUGUGAUGUCCUUCAGUUGUCCUCAGCUGAAACCUGA